rnacentral:rRNA from 1 species
CCUACGGGAGGCAGCCGUGAGGCAUAUUGGUCAAUGGACGGAAGUCUGAACCAGCCAUGCCGCGUGCAGGAAGACGGCUCUAUGAGUUGUAAACUGCUUUUGUACAAGGGUAAACCUGAAUACGUGUAUUCAGCUGAAAGUACUGUACGAAUAAGGAUCGGCUAACUCCGUGCCAGCAGCCGCGGUAAUACGGAGGAUCCAAGCGUUAUCCGGAUUUAUUGGGUUUAAAGGGUGCGUAGGCGGAUUGAUAAGUUAGAGGUGAAAUGUCCGAGCUUAACUCGGGAACUGCCUCUAAUACUGUUGGUCUAGAGAGUAGAUGCGGUAGGCGGAAUGUAUGGUGUAGCGGUGAAAUGCUUAGAGAUCAUACAGAACACCGAUUGCGAAGGCAGCUUACCAAUCUAUAUCUGACGUUGAGGCACGAAAGCGUGGGGAGCAAACAGGAUUAGAUACCCCAGUAGUC